rnacentral:rRNA from 1 species
CGUAGGGUGCAGGCGUUAAUCGGAAUUACUGGGCGUAAAGCGUGCGCAGGCGGUUUGCUAAGACAGGUGUGAAAUCCCGGGCUUAACCUGGGAACUGCGCUUGUUACUGGCAGGCUUGAGUGUGGCAGAGGGGGUGGAAUUCCACGUGUAGCAGUGAAAUGCGUAGAGAUGCGGAGGAACACCGAUGGCGAAGGCAGCCCCCUGGGCUAACACUGACGCUCAUGCACGAAAGCGUGGGGAGCAAACAGGAUUAGAUACCCUGGUAGUCCACGCCCUAAACUAUGUCAACUGGUUGUCGGGGAAGCAAUUCCUUGGUAACGAAGCUAACGCGUGAAGUUGACCGCCUGGGGAGUACGGCCGCAAGGUUA